rnacentral:rRNA from 1 species
UACAGAGGUCUCAAGCGUUUGUUCGGAUUCAUUGGGCGUAAAGGGUGCGUAGGUGGCGCCGUAAGUCGGGUGUGAAAUUUCGGAGCUUAACUCCGAAACUGCAUUCGAUACUGCGGUGCUUGAGGACUGGAGAGGAGACUGGAAUUCAUGGUGUAGCAGUGAAAUGCGUAGAGAUCAUGAGGAAGACCAGUGGCGAAGGCGGGUCUCUGGACAGUUCCUGACACUGAGGCACGAAGGCCAGGGGAGCAAACGGGG